AUCUCAUUGUUUGUGUGCGUGAACUGCGCAUUAUGUGAAAACAUACAAAACAAAAUGAUGGCAAGAAAUCUUAUUGUGUUUCACCAAAUCUGUGUCAACCCACAAACACACUCUCCCAAAAAAUCAUGGCCGUCCUUUCUACGAUAGUUUCAACGCCGGUUCCGACCAGCACUGCACCACCGAAUCUGAUACGGAGUACUUAACCACGGCACCCAUCUUCAUUUGCUGGGUGAGAACUGAGGAGUGGAAAGUUGUGCGAUAUUAUAGAAGAAGAUGGAGAGUGGUUUCUUAAGCAAGAGGUUCAUGGGGGCUCUCAGGUGUUUGUUCGGGUUCAGUAGGAUUUUCAAGUGCAUAUUCAGGUUCAGGAGGGUUUCCUGGUGUCUAUGAAGGUCCAGGUGAAUUUUCAGAUGUUUGGCCAAGUUCAGGGUUCAAAGGGAUUUUCAGCUUCAAUUUGGUCAUUUUCAGAGUCUUCCAACAUAUCAACAGACCAAUCAUCUGUAAAUUCAUUUAAUGGAUUCUUUCGAGUUGGUUAUGAAAGGACAAUAAAGGUACUUGUUGUUCAUCUGUUGAAAUUAUAUUACCCUAAGUACAAAUCACCAAUA